CGUGUAGGCGGUCGGGUAAGUCAGAUGUGAAAGCCUUCUGCUUAACAGAAGAAGUGCAUUUGAAACUGCUUGGCUGGAGUACGGGAGAGGAGAGUGGAAUUCCCGGUGUAGAGGUAAAAUUCGUAGAUAUCGGGAGGAACACCAGUGGCGAAGGCGGCUCUCUGGUCCGAUACUGACGCUGAGACGCGAAAGCGUGGGGAGCAAACAGGAUUAGAUACCCUGGUAGUCCACGCCGUAAACGAUGGGCACUAGGUGUAGGAGGUAUUGACCCCUUCUGUGCCGAAGCUAACGCAUUAAGUGCCCCGCCUGGGGAGUACGGCCGCAAGGCUAAA
rnacentral:rRNA from 1 species